rnacentral:tRNA from 1 species
GUUGUGGCUCAGCGAUAGAGCGCUUGCCUAGCAAGUGCAAGGCCUGGGUUCCAUCCUCAGCACACA